rnacentral:rRNA from 1 species
GACGGAGGGUGCUAGCGUUGUUCGGAAUGACUGGGCGUAAAGGGCGCGUAGGCGGCCGCUUGCGUCGGAUGUGAAAGCCCGGGGCUCAACCCCGGAACUGCAUCCGAUACGGGGCGGCUCGAGACCGAGAGAGGUGAGUGGAAUACCCAGUGUAGAGGUGAAAUUCGUAGAUAUUGGGAAGAACACCGGUGGCGAAGGCGGCUAUCUGGCCCGUAAUUGACGCUGAGGCGCGAAAGCGUGGGGAGCAAACAGG